GGGCUUGUGUCAGACUGGUCUAUCAUUGUAUCUAUUCCAGAGCAAGAUUUCUACUGCAAACUAAAUAAAAAUUAAAUUGCAUUAAAAAAAACAUUUGUUUACUAGCUUAAAACAACAUAACAUAUAACAAAUAACACGUUUUCUAAUUGUAACACAAUUUUAAGUUAAAGUUAAGCAUCAGGGCCAUAAUUUGUAUUUUUCAUUAGUAACAGCUUAUGUUUUGUAGCUCAACUUCUGACAGUUUUGGAUGCUGACCACUGCAUUGUAUUUCAUAUCAUAUCAGCUGCAUAUGAAGAUGCAUAAAUUGGAUUGACAUUAAACAUCUUGUUCAAAGAU